rnacentral:rRNA from 1 species
AACGAACGCUGGCGGCAUGCCUAACACAUGCAAGUCGAACGAGAUCUUCGGGUUUAGUGGCGCACGGGUGCGUAACGCGUGGGAAUCUGCCCUUUGGUUCGGAAUAACAGUUGGAAACGACUGCUAAUACCGGAUGAUGACGAAAGUCCAAAGAUUUAUCGCCAGAGGAUGAGCCCGCGUAGGAUUAGCUAGUUGGGGUGGUAAAGGCGCACCAAGGCGACGAUCCUUAGCUGGUCUGAGAGGAUGAUAAGCCACACUGGGACUGAGACACGGACCAGACUCUUACGGGAGGGAGCAGUGGGGAAUAUUGGACAAUGGGCGAAAGUCUGAUCCAGCAAUGCCGCGAGAGUGAUGAAGGCCUUAGGGUUGUAAAGCUCUUUUACCCGGGAUGAUAAUGACAGUACCGGGAGAAUAAGCUCCGGCUAACUCCGUGCCAGCCGCCGCGGUAA